rnacentral:rRNA from 1 species
UACAGAGGGGGCAAGCGUUGUUCGGAAUUACUGGGCGUAAAGGGCGCGUAGGCGGCCUGCUAUGUCGAACGUGAAAUCCCCGGGCUCAACCCGGGAACUGCGUCCGAUACUGGCAGGCUUGAAUCCGGGAGAGGGAUGUGGAAUUCCAGGUGUAGCGGUGAAAUGCGUAGAUAUCUGGAGGAACACCGGUGGCGAAGGCGGCAUCCUGGACCGGUAUUGACGCUGAUGCGCGAAAGCCAGGGGAGCAAACGGG